UCUCCGUUGGUGAACCAGCGGAGGGAUCAUUACAGGGUUGCAAAACUCCCAAACCAUUGUGAACGUUACCUAUCCCGUUGCUUCGGCGGGCGGCCCGGGCCCCGCGCCCGGCGCCCCCCGGCCCCCCGUGGGCGCCCGCCGGAGGUAAACCAAACCCUUGAAUUGCAUGGCCUCUCUGAGUCUUCUGUACUGAAUAAGUCAAAACUUUCAACAACGGAUCUCUGGGUUCUG
rnacentral:misc_RNA from 1 species